AGGAGAUACUGUUCUGCACGACUCAGAAGGCUGUACAAGUCUCUCAAGUUUUUGCAUGGCGGAGGUAAAUACAACAAAAGGAAUAUAACCGAGUCAAUAGUCACAGAUGUGAGGUUUCUCCAUGUAGUGUUUUAUAUGGCCGAGCGAGCAUGGAGUCAUGCCAUGGAGAAGAAAACUUCUGGUACAAAUGC